rnacentral:rRNA from 1 species
GGGGAAUAUUGCGCAAUGGGCGAAAGCCUGACGCAGCGACGCCGCGUGAGUGAUGAAGGCCUUCGGGUCGUAAAGCUCUGUUGGAGAGGGAAGAAAACCCUGAAGAAUAACACCUUCAGGUUUGACGGUACUUUUCCAGAAAGCACCGGCUAACUCCGUGCCAGCAGCCGCGGUAAUACAGAGGGUGCAAACGUUGUUCGGAAUCACUGGGCGUAAAGCGCGUGUAGGCGGCUUGGAAAGUCAGAUGUGAAAUCCCACGGCUUAACCGUGGAAGUGCAUUUGAAACUUCCAGGAUAGAAUAUGGGAGAGGGUUGUAGAAUUCCUGGUGUAGAGGUGAAAUUCGUAGAUAUCAGGAGGAAUACCGGUGGCGAAGGCGGCAACCUGGACCAAUAUUGACGCUGAGACGCGAAAGCGUGGGGAGCAAAC